AUUGAACGCUGGCGGCAGGCUUAACACAUGCAAGUCGAGCGGUAGCACAGGGGAGCUUGCUCCCUGGGUGACGAGCGGCGGACGGGGGAGUAAUGUCUGGGAAACUGCCUGAUGGAGGGGGGUAACUACUGGAAACGGUAGCUAAUACCGCAUAACGUCGCAAGACCAAAGAGGGGGACCUUCGGGCCUCUUGCCAUCAGAUGUGCCCAGAUGGGAUUAGCUAGUAGGUGGGGUAAUGGCUCACCUAGGCGACGAUCCCUAGCUGGUCUGAGAGGAUGACCAGCCACACUGGAACUGAGACACGGUCCAGACUCCUACGGGAGGCAGCAGUGGGGAAUAUUGCACAAUGGGCGCAAGCCUGAUGCAGCCAUGCCGCGUGUGUGAAGAAGGCCUUCGGGUUGUAAAGCACUUUCAGCGAGGAGGAAGGUGGUGAACUUAAUACGUUCAUCAAUUGACGUUACUCGCAGAAGAAGCACCGGCUAACUCCGUG
rnacentral:rRNA from 1 species